rnacentral:lncRNA from 1 species
AUGAGCCUUUGCUGUCAGGGGUACCCGCCGCCUCGGCCGCCCGGCGGGCCCGCGCCGCAGGUGGCAUCCGGGGCGGGGCCUGCGCGCCGGCGGGGGCCUGGCCCCUCCCCAGGUGCCUCGGCGCGCAGGCCGCCCCCCGCGCGCCGGGCCUCCGGGUCGCCCAGUGCGCAGGCGCCGGCCGGGAGCUCCGAGCGAGCGGCGGCGGCCCCGCGGACGGACGGACGGUCGGGCGGGCGGACCGACGGGCCGCGCGCCAUGCCGCCCUGCGCCUGUGAACUCCGAGCGCCCGAGGAUGUCUGCGCUGAGGAAGAGUCCUGUUUUAGCAGAACCCAGAUCCUGUUGAAAGUGGUAGAAGCUGAAUGCUCUUCCCUAGAAAACUCGGUGUCAGAUUUGCUGUGGAAUCAGAGGCUGAGCCUGUUCUCCUUGUGGAUUGAAAAGCCAGCAGAGCGUUUAUACCGGAUGGCCGUGCGCUUCCCUGAACUCUGCUGUGUCGCUAAGCAGAUGGCAUCCUGGCGAGAGCUCCGUGUGCACACAUGUAGUGAAUGUGCUUUGACCAUAGAAAGGACUAUACUCAGAAGUAGUGCUAAGUUGCCAGUGGAAACUGCCCAUGGGCCACAUGAGAGACCACGGAUCCUGCAAUGCUCGGGAUGCAUAAAGCUGGCACAGAAGUGCUGCAGAGAGGCUGUCACCAGUUAG